rnacentral:sRNA from 1 species
AAUAGAGGAACGAAGGCUAAAACCAUCACAUCCUGUGAUAACGCCUUACGAAAAUCAACCUCUCGUUUU